GCCGAAGUGGUGAAAUUGGUAUACACGCUAGUUUCAGGGACUAGUGGGAGCAAUCCCGUGGGGGUUCGAGUCCCCCCUUCGGCACCA
rnacentral:tRNA from 1 species